GACCAAUCUUUUAUAAAGCAUAACCAUUAAAAGCACAACAAAAAUAAAAUUUUCAUAUCAAAUUAAACAUCAUGAAAAUCCUUUUCUAUUUCUCCAUCCUCUUACUUUCUCUUUCCGUUAGUUUUGGAAAUAACCCAUUGCGAAAUGUAACACCACCAACCAAAUUUUGUCUUGCACCAGUAGGCACCAGUUAUUGUCUUCCACCUUCAAAACCAGAUGCAUGCAAUGAAAGGUGCAAAUUUUUUCUUGGUAAAUCAGAUGUCAAAGGACUAUGUGAUAAAUUAACAAAAGAAUGCGUUUGUAUUUAUUCACCACCAUGUAAGCAGUGACAGGAGUAUGUGAUCGAGCAGUCACAUACAUAGUUCACCUUUUUCUUUGUGGGAGUAUAUGUAUUCUCCUUCUACUAAGUAAAAUAAUGGUAAACCAAAUAAGACAUCAAGCAAAUAAAUAAAGUGCAUGAUUGUACUGUUAUUUUCUAUUUAUCAAAUAAUAAUAAAAUAGUGGUUCUAUAUUA